AAACCCGUCCAUUAUUCUGGCCAAUUAUUCAUGUGCAUUCCCACUCCCACUACUCCCCUCAUUAAUUCCGUUUUCUAUAUUCCUUUCAUCUCCUCCUUUCUGAAACCUUUAUUUCAAAUUUUCCUUUGCUUCUCUCACUAUCCAUUAUCAAUAUGCCAAUCAGUGGCUUUCUCCUCAACAAAUUCUCAUCACUGCAUAACUCAUUCCAAUUCCCAAAUACAUGCAGGCCAAUGAAUUUUUGAAAUUCAAAUUUAAAAUUCUCUUCCUAAUUAAAUUCAAUGCAUUCCAUCAGUCCUCCAUGAAUAUUCUAGGGAACCUGCAAUCUUUUCAAACCUUCUAAAACAAGCUUUUAUGAAUUCCAAUUCUGAGCUUUUCCAUUCACACAAUCCUCCCUUUCUUCUCCACGCCUCCAACCUAUGCUCCCCCAUUCCCCUUGGGCUUCCUCCCACACCGGCGAUCCCCAAUCCCUAGACAACUCCACCAUCGCGCCCUAUCCCCCCAUCCGUGCCUCCUUCCAUCACCACUGUCGUUGCGAGAUCAAACCUUAUCGUCGCCGGGUGGUACUUUCACUCCCUCCUAGGAUUUCCUUCUCAUUGACUCUGACACUACCAACAUCUCUAUCAAAUUCUGUUUUGGGUCUUAUGAAAACACCUCCAACAGCGACGACAGAAACACCUGCAUGCGAAGACGGUGGCGGAAGGGUGUUUCUUGAGCAGGGGUUCGACGGCCAAAACCCCUUAGACUGGACUCAGUCCAUGAAUCGAAGAUUGGGGGUUUUGUCUAAGGACUUUUGAUAACAAGAUUGUUUUUAAUUUAUGGGUUCUGUUAUUGGCCUUAAUCCAGAAGGUCUUCUUAUUGUAAAGGGUUCUCUGAUUCUCUCACACUAUGAAGAACCAAGGAAAAAGCAAUGUUCGAGAAUAUGAAAGUUAAAUUAAGAGUUAUGUAAUUUUUUAUUUUAUUUGUAAUUAAUAGCUCUUUAAUUGGUUCCUUGAUUUGACAUUUUUAUGCUAAAUUUGCACCUAAUCAAUUAAUUUCAAAUUGUUGCAAAUCCCCCUUUGCUCUUUGGUUUGGAAAUUGGAACAGGAAACUAUAUUCAUGGGGGAAGAUUAAAAACCGUCAUCUAAUAAGAUUGGCUAUUUGAGAAGACUUUCAUUGUUAAGCUACACAGUGAUGAGUCAUCAUCCAAACCUGCAUGCUUGGACAGGUAUUAUGGGGAAAAUGCUCACUGCUCUGAACCCUGUUCUGCUUAGAGAAAUUCUCUAAAUGGUGUCUCAUUCAAGAAGCUCAAAGCUUAAGAUUAUUUUUUAAAAAUCAUUGAAAACAGUUGAAAUGGUGUGUUUCAUUAUAAUGUGAAAGUUGCUGGGUUAAAAUGGUUGAAAUGAUGUGUUUGGCGACAUAAAUCUUUUGUAUUUAGUACUUUUUUUAUUGGUUGGGAGUUUGUCCUUAAAUCAUGUAAUCUCAAGUACUAUCAUAUAUAGUUUUAAUUUGUUAUUUUAAGUACUAAAUAAAGAAUAUGGAUCUCUGCUUUCUACUCA